rnacentral:rRNA from 1 species
AGAGUUUGAUCAUGGCUCAGGACGAACGCUGGCGGCGUGCUUAACACAUGCAAGUCAAGGAGAAAGAAGUCUUCGGAUUUUGAGUAAACUGGCGAACGGGUGAGUAACACGUAGGUAACCUACCUAUAGGAUUGGGAUAACACUGCCAACGCGGUGCUAAUACCGAAUGAUGCAAUGUAUUCGCAUGGAUGUAUUGUUAAAGGUGGCUUCGGCUAUCACCUAUGGAUGGACCUGCGUCCCAUUAGCUUGUUGGUGAGGUAACGGCUCACCAAGGCUACGACGGGUAGCCGGCCUCAGAGGGUGAUCGGCCACACUGGGACUGAGAUACGGCCCAGACUCCUACGGGAGGCAGCAGUGAGGAAUAUUGCGCAAUGACCGAAAGGUUGACGCAGCAACGCCGCGUGAGGGAUGAAGUUCUUAGGAAUGUAAACCUCUGUUAGGAGGAAAGAAAGGGUGGGCAUUAAAUAAGUGCCUGCUUUGACGGUACCUCCAAAGAAAGCCCCGGCUAACUCCGUGCCAGCAGCCGCGGUAACACGGGGGGGGCUAGCGUUGUCCGGAAUUAUUGGGCGUAAAGGGCGCGUAGGCGGGAUGAUUAGUCUUUGGUGAAAACUUGCGGCUUAACCGUAAGCUGGCCUUGGAUACUGUCAUUCUUGAGUUCGGAAGAGGGAAAUGGAAUUCCUGGUGUAGCGGUGAAAUGCGUAGAUAUCAGGAAGAACACCAGUGGCGAAGGCGAUUUCCUGGUCCGAUACUGACGCUGAGACGCGAAAGUGUGGGGAGCAAACAGGAUUAGAUACUCUGGUAGUCCACACUGUAAACGAUGGGUACUAGGUGCUGGUUCUUUUAGGAUCGGCGCCGAAGCUAACGCAUUAAGUACUCGCCUGGGGAGUACGAUCGCAAGAUUGAAACUCAAAGGAAUUG